rnacentral:rRNA from 1 species
GACAGAGGAUGCAAGCGUUAUCCGGAAUGAUUGGGCGUAAAGCGUCUGUAGGUGGCUUUUAAGUCUGCCGUCAAAUCCCUGGGCUUAACCCUGGACAGGCGGUGGAAACUACCAAGCUGGAGUACGGUAGGGCAGAGGGAAUUUCCGGUGGAGCGGUGAAAUGCGUAGAGAUCGGAAAGAACACCAACGGCGAAAGCACUCUGCUGGCCGACACUGACACUGAGAGACGAAAGCUAGGGAGCGAAUGGG